rnacentral:rRNA from 1 species
AUUGAACGCUGGCGGCAGGCCUAACACAUGCAAGUCGAACGGUAACAGGAAGAAGCUUGCUUCUUUGCUGACGAGUGGCGGACGGGUGAGUAAUGUCUGGGAAACUGCCUGAUGGAGGGGGAUAACUACUGGAAACGGUAGCUAAAACCGCAUAACGUCGCAAGACCAAAGAGGGGGACCUUCGGGCCUCUUGCCCUCGGAUGUGCCCAGAUGGGAUUAGCUAGUAGGUGGGGUAACGGCUCACCUAGGCGACGAUCCCUAGCUGGUCUGAGAGGAUGACCAGCCACACUGGAACUGAGACAUGGUCCAGACUCCUACGGGAGGCAGCAGUGGGGAAUAUUGCACAAUGGGCGCAAGCCUGAUGCAGCCAUGCCGCGUGUAUGAAGAAGGCCUUCGGGUUGUAAAGUACUUUCAGCGGGGAGGAAGGGAGUAAAGUUAAUACCUUUGCUCAUUGACGUUACCCGCAGAAGAAGCACCGGCUAACUCCGUG